GACGAACGCUGGCGGCGUGCCUAAUACAUGCAAGUAGAACGCACAGUUUAUACCGUAGCUUGCUACACCAUAGACUGUGAGUUGCGAACGGGUGAGUAACGUGUAGGUAACCUGCCUGGUAGCGGGGGAUAACUAUUGGAAACGAUAGCUAAUACCGCAUAAUAUUAAUUAUUGCAUGAUAAUUGAUUGAAAGAUGCAACUGCAUCACUACCAGAUGGACCUGCGUUGUAUUAGCUAGUAGGUGAGGUAACGGCUCACCUAGGCGACGAUACAUAGCCGACCUGAGAGGGUGAUCGGCCACACUGGGACUGAGACACGGCCCAGACUCCUACGGGAGGCAGCAGUAGGGAAUCUUCGGCAAUGGACGAAAGUCUGACCGAGCAACGCCGCGUGAGUGAAGAAGGUUUUCGGAUCGUAAAGCUCUGUUGUAAGAGAAGAACGGGUGUGAGAGUGGAAAGUUCACACUGUGACGGUAUCUUACCAGAAAGGGACGGCUAACUACGUG
rnacentral:rRNA from 1 species